AAAACUUUCAACGGUGGAUAUCUAGGUUCCCGUGACGAUGAAGAACGCAGCGAAAUGCGAUACGCAAUGCGAAUUGCAGAACCGCGAGUCAUCAGAUCUUUGAACGCAAGUGGUGGAGGUGUAAAAACCUUCAUGUUUGUUUCAGUGUGGAAAGGAAUCACGCAUCUUAAUGCGAUUGAAGCCGUCAAAAGCUUCUCUCGUUAAACGUGAUGGGUGGUCGAGCAAUCGCCGCCAGAACGAAGUAGUCACAUUCCAGUAAUGUGAACAUUCGUUCAGGCAUCAAGGCGAAUGCUCACUAUGCUACUCAUAGAAAAAUUACAUUUUUCUCACUACACCUGAAACAAGCAAGAUUACCCGCUGAACUUAAGCAUAUCAGUAAGCGGAGGAAAAGAAACUAACUAGGAUAGCCCCAGUAAUGGCGAAUGAACAGGCUAAAGCUCAAAGUGAAAAUCUGAAGUGGUCAACACAACAGAAUUGUAAUCUAAAGGGUCAACCUGAAACUAAGCUCCUCUCAUAAGUUCCUUGGGACAGGACGUCAAAGAGGGUGACAACCCCGUAGUCGGAGAGGAAGGCUGGUGUAAGGGAGAUUUCAAAGAGUCGGGUUGUUUGGAAUUGCAGCCCUAAGUGGGAGAUAAACUUCUUCUAAAGCUAAAUAUACACGGGAGACCGAUAGCGAACAAGUACUGCGAAGGAAAGAUGAAAAGAACUUUGAAAAGAGGGCUAAAAGACUUGAAACCGUUGAGAAGGAAGCUGUAGAAGAGCAAUAAACUGGACGGCGCAUAAGGGGGAAGUACUAAUCACUGCAGAGUCGAUACGUAAAAGGUCGAUGAGUAAGGAAAUGGUACAGAACUUGCUACACCGGUCAGAAGACAAAAUGGGUUCAGAUUGAAGGAGUCACCUGAGAUCGGGCAGCAAUGCAGAUCAAAAGGAAAACUUCAAACUGGACUGAGGGGCCUAAGGGCGAUUUUGUCAAAAUGGCUUCUACUGACCCGUCUUGAAACACGGACCAAGGAGUCUAUCAAUUAAGCGAGUGAUAGGGUGGAAAAACCCGUCCGCGAAACGAAAGUGAGUACAAGGUGCCAAGCCGCAAGGUAGCAGCAUCACCCGCCUUGAGUCUCCGCGAAGGGUUCGAGGAAGAGCUUAAUUGUUAGGACCCGAAAGAUGGUGAACUACGCUUGAAUAGGGUGAAGCCAGGGGAAACUCUGGUGGAAGCUCGUAGCGAUACUGACGUGCAAAUCGUUCGUCAAAUUUGAGUGUAGGGGCGAAAGACUAAUCGAACCAUCUAGUAGCUGGUUCCCUCCGAAGUUUCUCUCAGGAUAGCAAGAGCAAGUACGCAGUUUUAUUAGGUAAAGCGAAUGAUUGAAGGACUCGGGAGUCCUAAGAACUUCGACCUAUUCUCAAACUUUAAAUUGGUAAGAGCCGCGGAGUUUACUUAAAUGAACUCUCGGGAAGAACGCAGUGCUCUUGAGUUGGGCCAUUUUUGGUAAGCAGAACUGGCGAUGAGGGAUGAACCUAACGUUGAGAUAAGGCGCCCAAAUGCACGCUCAUCAGAUACCACAAAAGGUGUUGGUUCAUACGGACAGCAGGACGGUGGCUAUGGAAGUUAGAAUCCGCUAAGGAGUGUGUAACAACUCACCUGCCGAAUGAACUAGCCCUGAAAAUGAAUGGCGCUGAAGCGUGUUGCCGAUACUCAACCAUCAGAGCAAAUGCGAGGCUUUGAUGAGUAGGAGGGCGUGAUCGUUGCCUAGAAGUAUUGGCGUGAGCCUAUAUGGAGCAGCGAUUAGUGAGAUCUUGGUGGUAGUAGCAAAUAUUCAAAUGAGAACUUUGAAGACCGAAGUGGAGAAGGGUUCCAUGAGAACAGCAAUUGUUCAUGGGUUACUCGAUCCUAAGACAUAGGUUAACUCCUUGCAAUACAAGAAGACAUUCGUUUUCGUUGUCAAAAGGGAAUGAGGUUAAUAUUCCUCAAGCUGGACGUGGUAUAGGCGGUAACGCAAAGAAACCCGGAAACGUCAGCAGGUGUCACUGGAAGAGUUAUCUUUUCUUUUUAACAUACUAUGGCCAUGAAAUUGGAUUAUCCAGAGAUAUCGGCUGUAUGUAUGGCAGAGCAGCUCACCCUAAGAGCUGUCAGUUGCGCGCCUGAUGACCCUUGAAAAUCUGGGGGAGACAUAAUUUCACGCCAGUUCGUACCCAUAACCGCAUCAGGUCUCCAAGGUUAGCAGCCUCUGGUCCAUAGAACAAUGUAGAUAAGGGAAGUCGGCAAAUUGGAUCCGUAACUUCGGGAUAAGGAUUGGCUCUGAGGAUCGGGUAUAAAGGCUUUGUAAUGAUAUCCAAGCUUGUUUGUUAGUGUGGCAACAUGCUGAUAGACUUGCGAACGAUGAAUUUGCAAGGUAGGUUUCGGCCGUCUUUAUACAAUUAACGAUCAACUCAGAACUGAAGCGGACAAAGGUAAUCCGACUGUUUAAUAAAAACAAAGCAUUGUGACGGCCUCAACAGGUGAUGA
rnacentral:rRNA from 2 species